UUUAGCCUCCCUUCAUGCAACCGAGUCAGGGCUAAAUUCAGCCAGGAUAACUGGAAAAUCCCAGCUUAAUCCCUUAUCUUGCUUUUGUGCAAUACCCCCCAGGUAAAAUUAUUGGAUUUUAUGCACUUAUGUUAUUGUAAACAAUGCAGCGUCUGAACAGGACUUUUAUUUUGGAGUGACAACAUGAUGUCAUAAGACUGCGCCGUGCUCCUGCAUCUGCUGUGAUUCUGCUGAAUAAAGAUGGCGUUUAUUAAAGAGGAGACUGAAGACACGAAGAUUGAGUUUAUUAAAGAAGAGAGUGAAGACAUAAAUAUGGAGUUUAAUAAAGAUGAGAGUGAAGACAUGAAGAUAGUGUUUAUUAAAGAAGAGACUGAAGACGUGAAGAUUAAAGAAACAUUCAGUGUCAAACAUGAAGAUAUUGAGGAACAAACAGUGUGGAAAGAGUUUUGAUCAACAUAGAAACUUUCAAGACCACUUGAGAAUUCACACUGGAGAAAAGCCUUACACCUGCCAACAGUGUGGACAGAGUUUCACAUUUAAAGGAAACCUUAAAGUCCACGUGAGAAUUCACACUGGAGAAAAGCCUCACACCUGCAAACAAUGUGGAAAGAGUUUCAGUCAAAAAGGAAGUCUGAGAAAUAUAGCCCACAU